rnacentral:rRNA from 1 species
UUGACCUCGGAUCAGGUAGGGAUACCCGCUGAACUUAAGCAUAUCAAUAAGCGGAGGAAAAGAAACCAACCGGGAUUGCCUCAGUAACGGCGAGUGAAGCGGCAAGAGCUCAAAUUUGAAAGCUGGCUCCUUCGGAGUCCGCAUUGUAAUUUGCAGAGGAUGCUUUGGGUGCGGCCCCCGUCUAAGUGCCCUGGAACGGGCCGUCAGAGAGGGUGAGAAUCCCGUCUUGGGCGGGGUGUCCGUGCCCGUGUAAAGCUCCUUCGACGAGUCGAGUUGUUUGGGAAUGCAGCUCUAAAUGGGUGGUAAAUUUCAUCUAAAGCUAAAUACUGGCCGGAGACCGAUAGCGCACAAGUAGAGUGAUCGAAAGAUGAAAAGCACUUUGAAAAGAGAGUUAAACAGCACGUGAAAUUGUUGAAAGGGAAGCGCUUGCGACCAGACUCGCCCGCGGGGUUCAGCCGGCAUUCGUGCCGGUGUACUUCCCCGUGGGCGGGCCAGCGUCGGUUUGGGCGGCCGGUCAAAGGCCCCUGGAAUGUAGUACCCUCCGGGGUACCUUAUAGCCAGGGGUGCAAUGCGGCCAGCCUGGACCGAGGAACGCGCUUCGGCACGGACGCUGGCAUAAUGGUCGUAAACGAC